AUGCAAUUGGCUUCUUUCCUGGAAGAUCCUCAGUAUCAAGACCAGCAUUCUUUGCAUACAGAGAUCAUAAAAACAUUUGGUAGAGUCGGACCUAAUGCAGAACCCAGGUUCCGAGAUGAAUUUGUUAUUCCACAUUUGCAUAAGUUAGCUUUGGUGAAUAACUUACAGAUUGUGGAUUCUAAAAGACUGGAUAUUGCUACCCAUCUUUUUGAAGCCUACAGUGCACUUUCCUGUUGUUUCAUUUCGGAAGAUUUAAUGGUAAAUCACUUUUUACCUGGCCUUCGAUGUUUACGGACUGACAUGGAACAUCUCUCUCCGGGGCAUGAGGUUAUUUUAAGUUCCAUGAUAAAAGAAUGUGAACAAAAAGUAGAAAACAAGACUGUCCAAGAGCCUCAAGGCUCGAUGUCAAUUGCUGCGAGCUUAGUGAGUGAAGAUACAAAGACCAAGUUUUUGAACAAAAUGGGUCAGUUGACAACAUCAGGUGCCAUGCUGGCCAAUGUGUUUCAGAGAAAGAAGUAGAAGCAGAAAGGAAGCCCCCAGUAAACACUAAGAUGGACCUCAGCAGACUGGCUCCUUGUACUUGAAGUACUUGCCUUUUUUAUUUCCUCAGUUUUUUGUUCUUAUGUUAGAAUUUUAUCCUAAUCUCCGAAGAUAUUUGCACUGCUGUUGAUUAUUGCUGUAUAUCUGUUGAUUUGGGAAUUAUAACUAUGGUAAUAGAAAACUGAUUUGAUGGCCUGUACCAAGUCCCUCUUCUAUGUUAUCUUUGAGAAUAAUUUUUUACAUAUAAAUAUAUAUAUAUAUUUUUGAAUGGGUAAAUAACUAAUAUCUGUAUUAUACUCUAAGCUAUUACAAUGGUACUUAAAAUAAUGUAAAUUUGAAGUCACUGUUAAAAAGUAAUAAAAGUGGAGAUUACUGAAGUAUUUAAAUUAUGAAAGAAUAAUAAAAAUUUUUUAUUAUUUCUUAACUGACUAGAAAGAGCCACCAGCAUUACUCUGUGCCUUUUGGACUUCAGUUUGUGUAUUCUGUAGGAAUUAUGUGCAUUCCAUUCACACGGUAUUUCUUUAGGCUGCUGUGAUGAAUUUGAAUUACAAAUCCUACACUAAAUAGAUGAUGAAACUUUCAACAUUUCAGAACUCCCAUUCAUAUUCUUUUAAGUGCUAUUUAAACCUCCCCAGAACUUAGAUGCAUAUAAUGGACUUACCUGAGGAAAGAUAGCACUUAACCAUGGAGAGUAGUAACCAAGGUGAAUUUUAUAAAGUGUAUAGUAGAUUUAAAUGCUCAAAAAUAAAUGUAACUGAGAAGAGGUAAUAAUUGUGAAUUUUCUCCCAAGUUGAAAUAUGGAAGAUAGUAUGGUUUGAAUCUAAAAUGUAUCACUUGUCUAUGUAAAACAUUUCACACAAAAUGUUUUCUGAUCUUUUUUUUUUUGGUACCGGGGAUGGAACUUAGGACCUUGCAUUUGCGAGGCAGGCGACAGAACCACUGAGCUAAAUCCCCGGCCCCUGAUCAUUUUAAUUUUACAAGUUAGCUUUUUGUUCUGUGUUACAGAGAAGUACUGAAAAGUUAAGGACAUUUGGGGGCUGCUUUUUUUUCCCCUUCUAAACAAAAAGUAACAUUGGCUAUAUUAUUAUUGGUUAGUUAUCACUUUGUCCCUUAAAGUCAGUGACCAUUGUGUUUGGUAUAUUUUACAUAGUCUUAAAUUAAUGUAACAGGAUUUGAUGGUUGUCUAUACAGUAAUAUAACUUGAAGUAGAAAAGAGGGGUGGACAUAGAAAAAGGGGUAUUCGUUUGAGGGGUUAAUGUGAGGCCUUUUUAAAAAAUGAAUAUUUUGAUAAAGAGAAUUCUUGUUUGAGCACAGUUGAUGCACAUAGGUGAUUCUCAUAUUUGUUGUAUAGACUGGUUUAAUACACUUAGAUCAUAGUUGGAUUACACUUACUUCCUGGGAAAGCUAACUUACCUUACAUUCAAGCUUACAGUUUGCCAUGGGCAAAACCACUUAAAAAAUUCAUUCCGAAGUUAUUUCUUUUACCUACAGUGAAAUAAUUGUUGACUAGUCUUUCUGGAAAUUGUUGANNNNNNNNNNNNNNNNNNNNNNNNNNNNNNNNNNNNNNNUUCAAGAAACAAAAGUGGCUACCUUUCAUGUCAAAAAUGUUGAUCUAUUAUAAAUAAAAUGUUUUUUGCAUAUUUGUUACUGUUUUGUUUUUGUCUGUGUGUUCUGC
rnacentral:lncRNA from 1 species